CUGAAAGUUCGUAACGGAUCGGUCAACUAGGUAAUUUUCAACCGUAAUGCAGUUUAUUGUGGGAUACCCUUCAUCACAGUGAAAAUUAAACAAAGAUGAGGAAUUCAUAGAGCAUACAGAUAAGAAAGAAAUCUUCAAUUGUUCUCGGUGUGACAAAGAAAAUUUACUUUGGCUUGAUUUUCAGAAAUAAGGAAUUGUAUCAAUUUUUAGAAAUGAUGAAAACUAAUAAAAUCUUUACAACAAACAAUUAGACAGGUAGCGACUGCAUAUAAGCGAAUUAGGCUUAAAACGGUGGUGCGAUAUUAAACAGCAGCAGUGGAUGAAGGAAACUCGCUACCCUCAGCGGAUCUAGCAUCUAAAACAGCAGUGCUAGGCUGAACGAUCGAGGCGAGAUGAACACAAACAGAAGUUCCUACUGCAGGAGCAGAAUCUUCUCGAGAAAGUGCUAUGGCUACGCAUGACGUGCGAGCAACAAUUGGCAGUUGCACAGCACAUAGCAAAACUACAUGCAGAGGAGGAGCAUCCGCGUGACGUACCCGCGAUGGUGUUCAUUUUUAAAAUAGUUAACGGAUUGCUGCCUCGAUAUUUGUGUGAUCGAAUUGUGAGAGGAAGUGAUAUUCAUAGAUACAAUACUAGAAACGCGACAGAAAUUCGAACACCAAAGUUUAUUUUUGGAGCUUCGCAGAAUUAAUUAUUUUUUAAAGGAAUUAAAGUGUUCAAUUCGAUGCCUACACAGGUCAAACGUGCAGCAACGCUACUUGAGUUCAAGAGACAAUGUAUUCCACACGUCAAAGCUGUUUUUUAGGCAGCUAAACAGAAAUGUUUUACAAUUCACGCACUAAAUUGACGAAGUUUUCAUAACGGAUGAUUUUAUGUGGACUUUUGCUGUAACAGCUUUUUAGUAUUUAUUUAAGCAUUGUAAAAACUAUUAUGUUCGUCCCGAUGAUAAUGAUGGAUUUUGUAUUUAAUGUAGUAGUAAAAAAAAAAUGAGAAGUCUACAAAGGUUUGAGAAUCGCGCGCGUUACACAGAUAUAAUUGACUACCUUUCUUAAAUUAAUAUAUGACAUGAAAAAUGAAGGUUUUUUUUUUUAUUUACAUACAUACAGAUGCAUUAUGCUGAUGUAUGUUAUGAAAAUUGAGUUUUUGUGACACAAUAAACUUUUGAGUAGUUCUGGACAUACGUCGGAUUACUCGGGAAAAUUAUGACACUUUUGAUUGUCUUUGGACGUUGAAAUUCCUAGCUGUUCUAGGACUUUUUCGGGUUGGAAAUUUUCUAGACUUCCCUAGGUGAGGACAUCCUCAUGAGUCUCAUGUUGAGUUCACGGUUUACCUGUGCUUUGCUUGCUGAGUUCGGCGGGAAUGGCCUUGUUGGGACUGUAGCAAUUUAGCUGUGGGCUAGAUUGGGUGUUGGCCUAAUUCAGAUGUGAAUAAUGUUCAAUUGAUUGAAAGAAGUAAAAUAAUUAGAACUUGGUAAUCUUGGUCGUAGAACGGCUUAGAAAUUUGUGUUUAAAUUUUUUUUUAUUCAGUAAUACUGCCGUUUAAGCAUUGGAAUAUUAUGGAGGAUUUUAUAUCUGUAUUGACAGAACCAGUCCGUUUUUUUUUGCUUUCUGGUUUAAUUGAAGUAAUAACGAAUUAUCUAAUAGAUAAAUCGUCUACCUCAAAUCUUUGUAGGGGUAAGAGGCGGGACCAUCAUCAUCAUCAUCAUCAUCAAUGAGAAAGCGGACUCUUUGGCUAAGGUGGGCGCAACAAACGGUGGAAUUUAUGAAAGACCAAUUGCCUUUAAUGAAUUUUUCUCAUUUGUACGUCAGAAUACGAUCAUCAGUUGGCAAAAUGCUUGGACCAGAGGGGAACUGGGAAGGUGGUUACAUCCAUAAUCCCCAAGGUGUCGACGAACCUGUGGUUCAAGGGGUUGGAAGUAGGUCGGAAUUUCAUUUGCGUGAUGUCCCGGCUUAUGUCCAAUCACUAUAGAUUUGACGCGCAUCUCCGUCGUGUUGGGCUCGGGGAAAGUGGUAUCUGUGCCUGUGGUGAAGGUUAUCACGACAUAGAGCACGUUGUUUGGUCAUGCCCUGUACACCGUGACGCCAGGUCUAAAUUAAUAGCUUCCCUGCAGGCCGAAGGUAGGCAGUCGGCUGUUCCUGUUCGUGAUGCCUUGGCGAGCCGUGACCUAUCCUACAUGUCCCUUAUAUACGUUUUCCUGAAAUCCAUCCACGCCCCAGUUUAGUCCUACCCCCUUCCACCUGCAUCCAGCCUAACGACAAGAACACGUUAAUGUUGACUACGAUAACGAAAUGAAACACGGAAUAUAAUGGUCGUCAGACAAACUUUAAUAUAACCUCGUUGUGUAGAUGCUCAUACAAGAAUGAAAAAGGGAAAUGAGAAAAACGGCAACGUGAUGCAGCGCUGCCAAGUACCGUGAGAGGUGAGCCGAUGUAAGUUGUAUACUAAAACACUCCUCCUCUACUUCGUGCGGCUGCUCCAUAUUAUAUGAUAGACCCGACGAUAGACCCAAAGCUUCGCUGUGUUGCAUUACCUUUAAAAUACCAAGUGGCUUUGUGAAUAAAUCAGCUGUGUUUUGCUCUGACGGCCAAUACUGUAAUUUAACCUCUCCACGUUCACAAAUGUCCUUCACGAAGAAUUGGCGUGUUUUGAUUUUUUCGAUGUGCGACCGGCAUUCACAAAUGAAAUACAUCCCUGAUUAUCUUCAUUGAUAAUUGUUGCGUCCUCUUGUCGCUCGCCGAAAUCCAGUAGAAGCUGCCUAAGCCAUACAGCUUCCUGACACGCUUCACUAAGUGCAAUAUAUUCCGCUUCCAUGGAAGAUAAUGAAACGCAUGUUUGCUAGCGGCUACACCAAGAAACUGCUGUAUCACCAUACAAAAAAAACAUAUCCACUUGUAGACUUUCGCGUUGCUACAUAACCCGACCAGUCAGAAUCUGCAAAACCCAGCAACGUUUAUCAGUUUUAUUUUUGAACGUCUACUUCAAAUCACUAGUUGUGUGGAGAAACUUGAGAACUCUUUUGGCUGCUGACCAGUCCGCUUCUGUCGGUGAGCUCACCUUCUGCCCAAGUAUCGACAUACUCGCAGCUAUAUCUGGGCGAGGAGUUUACUGUUUCCUGCAUCCCUUGCGUAACCUGGAUCAAUUGGAAUUUUGACAGGUUUUGCGUUUGUAAGAUUGUAUUUUUCUGUGAGACAUUCAGUAUAACCCUUUAGACUGAUUGAAUAUUUACCAUUUUUAGAUUCAAUGUCCAUUCCUAGAAAACUGCGUAAAUCACCAAGCUCUGUUAUUUCGAAAUGUUUCUUCAGCUCAUCCUGAACUUCCGAAAGAUGCUUCUCAUCCUCGCAAGCGACAAGAAUGUCAUCGACAUAUAUCAAAAUGUAAAUCUGUCUUCCAUCAACCAUUUUACUGUACAGGCACGGAUCUGCAACACCUCGUCGAAACCCAGCUUUCACCAAAACAUCGUCGAUACACUUGUUCCAACAGCGUGCCGACUGUUUCAAGCCGUACACGCUCUUCCGUAGCCGACAAACUAACUUUUCCUUUCCUGCUGGUAUGAAACCAGGGGGCUGACGCAUAUGAAUCUCCUCUUCUAAGUUUCCAUAAAGAUACGCUGUUCUUAUAUCCAAGUGCUUGAGUGACAUUCCACGAUCACUGGCUAUAGCAAGAAGCAUACGAAGCGUAGACUGCUUUGCAACCGGUGCAAAUACCUCAUCAUAAUCUAGCCCAUAGCGUUGGCCGAAACCUUGCGCCACUAGUCUUGCUUUAUAUUUAACGACUUCACCUGAUGCGUUCCGUUUGAGUUUAAAAACCCAUCUGUAACCAAUCACCUUUUUGUUCGCUGGUGGCUCGACUAAUUCCCAAGUUUCGUUCAGAUGAUGCGAUGUGAUUUCACUUUCCAUGGCUUCUAUCCAAGAUUUGUGGUCGGAUCUCGACACAGCAUCUUCGAAAUUUUUUGGUUCUACUCCAUUUGUUUUCGCGCUUUUCAAUUCGUGCCUGAAUCUCUUCGGUAAUACUCCUUUGUUAUUCCGGGAUGAUCGCCGUGGAAAUCCAGUGAAAGGCUCCUCCUCGCUAGAUGUACCAUCGUAUGUAGAUUCUUCAUCCUCUACAGAAUCACCGUUUAUACUAUCCGCUAUGAAUGGUUUUUGCAUAGGGUCACCCAGUCCCUGGCUUGUGUUCACGUCCUUCAAAUCAACUUCCAUCUCCAAAUUUUUUGGCGCUGUAGUAAGAAGUGGUUCAUUAGUAAACUCGCUAUCGCAAAACUUAGCAUCUCGGCUGAAAAGUAUUGUAUCUUUAUUUUUAUCCAAAAACCGGAAUCCUUUACGAUUCUCAUCAUAUCCGACGAACGUCAUUCUCACAGCCUUGACGUCACACUUCUGUCGUUUUUCUUUGGGUACAUAUACAAGUGCUUCGCAACCGAAUACAUGAAAAUGUUUAAAAUGGGGCAACCUACCUUUCCAUAGUUCAUACGGUGUUCUGGACACCGGGGCAGUUGGAAGACGGUUCUGUAAAAAGUUAGCUGUAACCACGGCCUCGCCCCAAUAUUUUUUACUCAUUUUAGCUUCUGCGAGAAGACACCGCAUCAUUUCAGUCAAACUACGGUUCUUCCUCUCAGCGAUACCGUUUUGCUGAGGACUGUAAGUUAUUGUUUGUUGGAGAAUAAUUCCAUUCUGCUUCAGGAAACGUUCUAGAGAUAAGCCCGAGUAUUCGCCACCAUUGUCCGCUCUUAUAACCUUUGGAUUCUUCCCAAACUGGUUGUGGACCAAACUCACGUAUUCUUCAAUUUUAUCUUCCGCUUCACUUUUAUGUUUUAACAAAUACACUAUUAUACCGAGAAAAAUCAUCUAUCAUCGUCAUAAUAAAUCGAUUGCCUCGAGGUGUAGGUACUUCUAGUGGGCCACAAAGAUCUGUGUGCACCAUAUCUAAAAUAGCUUUUGUUUUUGACGUAGGACUACGUCUAACCGCACUAUAUCGAGAUACAUUCUGCGGAAACUAAAACCAAGGUGUAACGUUGGAAUGAAAGAUUUCAAACGGUAAUACUGAUGUAACCACAUGAUUGAUUACAAUAAUCAAUAUGUUGUUGGAUUGAUAAAAUGAUGGACAAUUUUGUGAUUCCUCAGUUAUCAUUAUCAUUUCAUUGUUAAACAGUGAAAAUUUCAUAAAAAUUUCAAGGUCGAAUUUUCACGAACAAUGUACCAAUCACAUGCGAGUACGCCUGGCACAGACUUCAUGAGUAGACACCAACUGCCUGCUGUGAUAUCCUGUAUAGCAGUGGCAAAAAAAAAAUUGACAGAAUCUCCCCGUCCCAAUAGGUCAACUAAUGUUAGCUUCCAUGAGCCUAGACUAUUUUGAUGUCUUGAAAGUGAAGCUUUUUCGGAAAGUUCGUAACCACCUCCACUAUCAGACAGUUUUACGUUCUGCUGUUAGAAUGUUACUGAUGUCUUGAAGGAGAACAUGCUAGCACAGGCAACAGUACUGCACCGAGCAAUGUAUCAAUAGAGCGCUGGUCACUCAUCGUCUAUCAGUGCAGUAUAACUCGAUAUUUAUUUGUAUGCAGCCAAGCCAAGUGAAGACUACAUUGCCGCUGUCGGCGUACAGUGGGGCGUGUUGGGUUAACGCGCAGGUAUCGUUUUGCGAUCUGGAACACAAUCGAAUUGCCGUUUGAAUUGUCUUUUUCUUCUUCUUCUUCUUGUUUCGUAUAGUAGCAAAUAUCAGAAUUCAAUAUGAUUAUUCGGGUGCCGCAAAAUACGCUGCGCCACCAGGGACAACAAAACUCUGUACGUGUCGGUGGAAGUAGAUAGCAGGGUAUAUAAAUUAGGUUCGUUGUACAGAUAAAAUGCGUUGUUUAUUGAAGUAGAAUACUUCUCUCAGGAAGUUCGGCUACAUAGGGAUGUGAAAUGAAAAUCUAAAACCGAAAAAAGUGAAAAAUAUGUCCAAUUUCAAAUGCUAAUAAAUCGGUUAGUAUUCGAUGGAUUUCCUUCGUUCUUGCAGCAAUAGAUUGGAAAAUCUUCUAAGAUUCUUCCCAAAAUAAGAUAAUUGUAAUUUUAUUAUUCACACUAUUGUACUAUUGAAAACAGUCAAGCCUUGUCAAAACGAAAAUUUCGACCCCUGAUUGAUCGUUAUAUGCUUGCUUCCCAAGCACGGUCGACAGAAUCAUAUACCUUGAAAUUGAAAACAUGCUAUUUGGCCUAUAUAAGAGCCUGUUUCAGCCGGAGCCGCUCAUAACAGUUCUGAACAGCGACGACAGCAGUCCUCCCUUAGCAGCAGCGGGAGCGAGCAGUGGGUACCAUCGAUAGCGGAAAGCGGCCACAACUGUGGCAUGGCUGUGGAUAGGCGUAGCAGUUCCAGCGGAUCUCACCAUCGAUAGCAGCAGGGCCAGCAGAUGCAGUUACAGUGGAUACCAAUGGCGGCCACAACUGUGGCAUGGCUACGGAUAGUGUUGCGAUUGCUCAGCAGUUAGGCCAGCGUAUAGCGGCCACAACUGUGGCAUGGCUAUGCAUAGCAUAGCAUCAGACAGCGACAACGGCAGUCGUCCUUCCUCAGCAGCAGCACUAGCCCUGUGGUUGGUCACCACGUCUCAGGAGCAGCGCGGUUUUUCUCAGCGUGUGUCGCCAGACAGCCAUUAUUCCCCCCGUGUUGGGGCAGCAUGAAGAUUGCCAUCAGGAAAUCCAAUUUUUGGAAUCAAAAUGCCUUUUUGAAGGCAAAUAAACAAGUCAUUGAAAGUUAAUAAUUUUUAUCAACGCAAGCAAGCAUUCUGUGUUGCAUCCUAGCAAUUUAAAUUUGUCGCACCCGUCUAAUUUACUGAAUGUGAAAUAGCCUCCACAGUGCAUGUUGUCCGUGUAUCUUAAUUCCCCCAAUGUUAGGGCAGCUCAAAGGUUGUAAUUAGCAACCGAUUUUGAACAGCACAAUGCUUUUUUGAAGGCAAAUAAAAAAAUAAUUGAAGGUUAAAAAUUUUCUGGCAUCAACACAAGCAGACAUUCUGUACGGGAUGCAAUCAAAUUCUGUUGUAGUUGUCCAAUUUUCACUUUAUUUAGUAAUCCCCCCACUGUAGGGGCAGCGUUAAGGCUGCGAUCAGCAUGACCAACUUUGAAUAACAAACGGUUAACGUUUAUUCACUAAAAAUUCAUCCAAUUCAAAACAGGUUUUUGUCUGAGUACAAUAAUUUGCACAAAAAGACAUUAAAAAUUUUACCGCAUUAUUAGACGCGUUUCUCCAGUCAUGCCUCGUGAACGUGAAGGUUCCCUAUCACAGACAUAGAUUUCGUGCUCCAGCACAUUACAACACGUGGAAAUUGUCUUUUUACUAGUGCAACAUUUCUUGGAAGUGUUUUAUUAUUCUCGGGUAAGAGACUACGAGUGCAUUUUGAAGUAGAAUACUUCUCUCAGGAAGUUCGGCUACAUAGGGAUGUGAAAUGAAAAUCUAAAACCGAAAAAAGUGAAAAAUAUGUCCAAUUUCAAAUGCUAAUAAAUGGGUUAGUAUUCGAAACAUUUUCUUCGUUCUUGCAGCAAUAGAUUGUAAAAUCUUCUAAGAUUCUUCCCAAAUGAAGAUAAUUGUAAUUUUAUUAUUCAAACUAUUGUACUAUUGAAAAUAGUCAAGCCUUGUCAAAACGAAAAAUUCGACCUCUGAUUGGUCGUUAUAUGAUUGCUUCCCAAGCACGGUCGACAGAAUCAUAUACCUAGCAAUUGAAAAUAUUCUCUUAUUAGAGCCUGUUUCAGCCGAAGACGCUCAUAAUAGUUCUAGCACAGACUAACAGACGUAACACUGAAACCUAGCUCCAUCGCCACAAAUAACGUUCAUUUCAAAGUUUCAAUCGAAUAGCAAUCAUCGCGCGAAAACGUCGCCUGGAGCGCUGUCAUGCAAUCUCAUACUUAUUUUGUAGUUCCCCAUUUGACACAUGCAGUAACGCUGGCGCUGAUGUCGAAAUACAUGACGCAGCGCGAACACGACAGCAGAUGGUGCUAGUGUUACUAACGUAAAGUACUGGAAUCAUCCAAACGAUGAUUUUAUUGGAAAUUUGUUCGACGUGUUAUGUCUGUUAGUCUGUGGUUCUAGACAGCGACAACAGCAGUCAUCCCUUAGCAGCAGCAGUAGCAGUGCAGUGGAUACCAGCGAUUGCGGAUAGCGGUCACAGCUGUGGGGUAGCAAUGGAUAGCGUACUAGUUGCAGCGGAUCUCAGCAUCGAUAGCAGCUGGGCCAGCUGAUGCAGGGACAGCGGAUACCAAUGGCAGCGUAUAGCGGCCACAAGUUGUGGCCCACAACUGUGACAUGGCUACGAAUAGCGAAGCAGUUGCCGCGGGUAUAUCUGACCAUGAAGCAUUUAUGCAAUAAUUGAAUGAAAAUUGACAUUGCAGCAAUCGGCCUUUUUCAAGGCUACUAAAUGUUUUUGGAGAGCAUAAUGAAUGGUUAUUAAUAAACUGCAACUGAGGUUUGAUGCUGCUGCAAAUGCACAGCAGUAUGAUGUUUAUUACGAUUUGUUGAUACUGUGCUUAACAAUCGGUAUAUACGAAACAAAUCCGAUAUCCAAAUGACUGACACGCAAGCAGCCGGGUUAUCUUUCUUGUAAAAGUAUUCUACUUCAACCUUGCGGUCGUGGCUUUGCACACAACCCUCCUGUGAUUUUUUUGAACUCUACACUUUGAUUUUCUCAUGUCCAUUUUAAAUUUUCUGUGAAUAUACAUUUUUGUUUAUAAACUGUAAUUCUUUCUCGUUAUUUUUUCCACGAACUCUCUUUGCCGCUUGGUGAUCGGAGAGUGAGCCAUCUUUCACAAGACAAAUAAAUAUUGUUUAAUUUCUACUAAAUCGUACUCAAUUUAGGUCUGUAUAGAAGCUUGCAUUUUUGCGUAUUGAAGAAAAUUGACUGUAUCAGAACGAAUGGUAUUCAUCAAUAUCGAAGAUAAUAUAAAACAAAUAAUCAAAAUACAGACCCUAUUCGAUUUUGCCAAACACGACACGGCAGAAUUUUUCUGUUGUCAAGAUUGAACCAUGCCAAAAAUGAACGGUUCUCUUUUCAUGACUUUUUUCAUAGAUAUUUCUACCAAUAAACUAGUUUUAGUUCCAAGUCGUUUGAGGUGUCGCUUUAUGAAUUAAGGCUGACGACCUAGAUACUUGAUAUUACUACCCGAGUAAUUAGAGGCUUAGUACUGCUUAGAUCAUGAUCAUUAUAUUACCGGCACAUGUUGCGGUCAUAUUCCAGGAACCGUUUUACCGAUUCCGGCCAUCCGCUUCGGCAACAUAAAGAGCCAAAAUACCCUUCUUUUGGAGGAUGUUGAGCUUGAAUUGGUUAAAAUAAUCAAGAAAACUAAGAAAUGUGAUUUGACAUAAUCGCUCGUUUUUGGCACAUGUGUGCCAAAACCGAACCGUGCCAAAAUUUAAACGAGCUCAAAUCAAACAGAGCCUCAAAGGGAAGUAUAAAACUAUCAUAGUCCUACGUCAACUAUGCGGUCGUGUCUUGGAUACCACCCUCCUACUGUUUUUGUUUCUGAUGCAGGAAACGGUGCUCUGUUAAUUUUUCCUUCGCAGCAGACUUUGCAAACUGAUCGGAUUCCGCAAUCAAUCAGUUUCAAAUUCAAUCCCAACUCGUUUCGUACAAUUUGUUUGAUAGCUCCAGGUUCGCGAUGGCCCAAUUUACGAUGCCACAUAUGUUGACAGUUGUCUUGAUGUUGAGUCAUAGUUAACAACGCUUUUCUGUAUUCUUUGAGCUGGUUUAAACUAGCAUUUCGUUCACCAACUGCGAUAACGACACCAUUCUUAACCACCUUGCAGCCGAAACUUUCAAAAAUUACCGUAUAUCCUCCAUCAGUCAUUUUGCUAAUCGAAAAUUUCCUUUCAACGAUGGUACGCGCAGAACUUCCUUGAUCAAUAUCUUUCUAGGUUUCCCUUCUCCAUCAACGGUAAUUAAACUGGCAUCACCAGAUCCAUUCGAUGAAACUUUGCUGCCAUCAGCUAAGAGCGACGAUCAACCCGUCGUAAGAUUGUGGCAAACUAGAGAGCAAUAUAGCUACCAUCCAGAAUCCAUUCAACGUAUCACCCAUCGCCUCCAAACGCUGGGACAAUUCCAAAAUGCUCGCGAUAUGGUUCGCCAUAUUGCCACCUUCCUCAAGUUGUAACCGAAGUAGCUGCCGUAACACAUGGAUCCUAUUCACUAAUGAGGACCGGUGAUGGAAGCUCUGAAGCGCUUCCCACAUCCCUUUAGCUUCAUGACAUGCGUUAGCUGAUUAUUCUCCAAAGAAAGUCCAAUAAUUGCACGUGCUUUUCCGUCUUUCGUCAACCAGACGGCAUCCGGCCUCUGAAAAGACACCAUCUCAUACAGCUCCUCCUUAAUUAGAAGCAGUUCCAUGCGGAAACGCCACGUAGUACAGUUUGUAUCACCUAACUUUUCCACUACGAAUUAUGCGUCCGCCAUGUUGACUGUCUUUCAAAUGCACUUUUACAAGUUUAACCGGUUAUUAAACAAAUUAAUAUUAUUCAGUACUGCAUUGGAAUAAAAAACUGUUUUCUCGCGCCGCGGAUUUAAUUCUGAGCUCAUAACCUGUUGACUACGAUAACGAAAUGAAACACGGAAUAUAAUGGUCGUCAGACAAACUUUAUUAUAACCUCGUUGUGUAGAUGCUCAUACAAGAAUGAAAAAGGGAAUUGAGAAAAACGGCAACGUAAUGCAGCGCUGCCAAGUACCGUGAGGGGUGAGCCGAUGUAAGUUGUAUACUACAACAGUUAAGACCCCGGAUCCGGAAACAGCAAUCAGACCCGCACGAUACUCUCAGGGCCCGAGGGAGACAACCCAAUAUGUCAGUCCGUAAUAUCUUGGCCCAGCAGCGGAACAUGUGCUUACCUAUGGCAAUGAAAACCAUCAUACAGUAAACCAGUGCUUUUAAUGCAAAAUAUUAUAGCUUUAAGUUACAUUUAGUUUCAGCUCGUAGUCGGCAGCGAGGAUAAAAAAUUUGCUUUUAGUUAUUAAGAUACUUUAGAAAGUAAGCUACCAGAUAUAAUUGGCGCCGUUAAACAUUAAAUUGUAUUUGUGCCGUGUCAAAUAAAUUAUAGAUGAACAAAAAAAAAAAAAAAA